AAACCUCUGGACUGAUGCGAAUGUCUCUGGGUUAAAAGAACAGGCUCUGCCAGCCUGGAGCACAGACUUCAGAGGCGGGGCUUCAGUUGGCUGGCUCUGAUGUCUUUGAUGUGGGAUGUGAAAAAAUCAGUUCUGCAAGCGUUGCAAAAGCCGUGGGUUGUAUUAAGGUGAAGCUGUGGGAAGGAACUGCUGCUCCCUAGGAAGACGCUGACAAGAGCCACAAACAGACAGGAAGCUAAAGGAAGCAAGCAGCAGGGCUUUGUCAAGUUUAGAGAGAGAACUGAUUCACUGGGACAUGGAAACCACUCUUGUCUGAAAGGCCAUAUAAUCCAGCUUCAGAAGAAGUUAGGAUUGAAACGGGAGGAAGCCUGAAGAAAAAAUUUUCAUCAGCUCCUGAAUUAGAUCUUUAUAAUUUUAAUGACCAGUCUUCAAACAUGUAUCAGCACCAGGACUGCCUGCUACUAGAGCCUGGACACAUUCUACAGCUCUUCACAGUCCUGAAUUUAAAGUUAUUAUCUCUGGUAGAGUCAGUCUAACAAGAUCUUUCUCAUCUACUACAAAAGCAGAAGUCUCAUUAAUUUUUAAAAAUUCUACAUUGAAUGAAUUUAUAAUUUAUCUUAAUACUCAUAGAUUUAAACACUAUUCUAUUAUUGAGAAAUUUGUAUAUUUAAAAUUUCCUAUUAUAUGUUAUUAGUAUAUAUUCAUGGUUUCCAUAAAUAUUUAUUGAGUAUCUGUAUAAGCACUGUUUAAGCACUGGAAUGCAGCAGUGUAUACAAAAUAAACAAUUAUUGUUGACCUCAUGAACCAUGUUUUCAGUGGCUGUUACGUUAACUGUUAAUAAACAUCCUUAAACCUGCAUCUCUGUUGG
rnacentral:lncRNA from 10 species